rnacentral:rRNA from 1 species
CGCUGGCGGCGUGCUUAACACAUGCAAGUCGAACGAGAAGAGAUGAGAAGCUUGCUUCUUAUUGAUUCGAGUGGCAAACGGGUGAGUAACGCGUAAGCAACCUGCCCUUCAGAUGGGGACAACAGCUGGAAACGGCUGCUAAUACCGAAUACGUCUUUUUGUCGCAUGGCAGAGGGAAGAAAGGGAGGCUCUUCGGAGCUUUCGCUGAAGGAGGGGGCUUGCGUCUGAUUAGCUAGUUGGCGGGGUAACGGCCCACCAAGGCGACGAUCAGUAGCCGGUCUGAGAGGAUGAACGGCCACAUUGGAACUGAGACACGGUCCAGACUCCUACGGGAGGCAGCAGUGGGGAAUCUUCCGCAAUGGGCGAAAGCCUGACGGAGCAACGCCGCGUGAGUGAAGAAGGUCUUCGGAUCGUAAAGCUCUGUUGUCGGGGACGAAUGUUGAGACCUAGAACAUAGGUUUCAAAUGACGGUACCUGACGAGGAAGCCACGGCUAACUACGUG